rnacentral:rRNA from 1 species
AGGACGAACGCUGGCGGCGUGCUUCAAACAUGCAAGUCGAACGGAGUUAAUUUUGAAGCUUGCUUUUAGAAUUAACUUAGUGGCGGACGGGUGAGUAACGCGUGGGAAACCUGCCCUGUACUGGGGGAUAACACUUAGAAAUAGGUGCUAAAACCGCAUAAGCGCACGGGACCGCAUGGUCUUGUGUGAAAAACUCCGGUGGUACAGGAUGGUCCCGCGUCUGAUUAGCCAGUUGGCAGGGUAACGGCCUACCAAAGCGACGAUCAGUAGCCGGCCUGAGAGGGUGAACGGCCACAUUGGGACUGAGACACGGCCCAAACUCCUACGGGAGGCAGCAGUGGGGAAUAUUGCACAAUGGGGGAAACCCUGAUGCAGCGACGCCGCGUGAGUGAAGAAGUAUUUCGGUAUGUAAAGCUCUAUCAGCAGGGAAGAAGAUGACGGUACCUGAGUAAGAAGCCCCGGCUAACUACGUGCCAGCAGCCGCGGUAA